rnacentral:rRNA from 1 species
UACGAGGGGGGCGAGCGUUGUUCGGAAUUAUUGGGCGUAAAGAGCGUGUAGGCGGCCAGGGAGGUCCGUUGUGAAAACUCGAGGCUCAACCUCGAGACGCCGAUGGAAACCCCCUGGCUAGAGUCCGGAAGAGGAGAAUGGAAUUCCUGGUGUAGCGGUGAAAUGCGCAGAUAUCAGGAAGAACACCCGUGGCUAAGGCGGUUCUCUAGUACGGUACUGACGCUGAGACGCGAAAGCGUGGGGAGCGAACAGG